rnacentral:rRNA from 1 species
UACGGGGGGGGCAAGCGUUGUUCGGAAUUACUGGGCGUAAAGGGCUCGUAGGUGGUCAACUAAGUCGGACGUGAAAUCCCUCGGCUUAACCGGGGAACUGCAUCUGAUACUGGAUGGCUUGAGAUUGGGAGAGGGAUGCGGAAUUCCAGGUGUAGCGGUGAAAUGCGUAGAUAUCUGGAGGAACACCGGUGGCGAAGGCGGCAUCCUGGACCAACACUGACGCUGAGGAGCGAAAAGCCAGGGGGA